CUUUAGUGUCCAACUUUCCACCAGCAGAGACUGGUUCUGAGAAGCACCAUCACUCAGAAUGACAAUCCUGCUACUCUAAGUAAAAGGAAUGCAGAUGUAGUACUACUGAGUCAGCUACAACCAUGUGGUAGAGGAUAACCUCUCAGAGAUGAGGAAUUACUGUCAACAUAGAAGGCGCUGUUCCCUGGAUGACCUCAUGGGAUGUCUACCAGCCCUGGAUCACUGACUGCUAAACCUAGGGAACCAGUAUUCCAAAUUGCAAGGGAGAGAGAGAAGGCACCAAGAGGGACAUCUUCAGGAAAAUCUAAAAGAGAAUUGCUAAAUAAGGUGACACAGCACGAAAAUCCCUUGCAAGAUGCCAUCCCCUCCAUAUUGGACUUCUUAGCCCAUAACUGUGCAC